AGCGAACGCUGGCGGCAGGCCUAACACAUGCAAGUCGAACGGAUCCUUCGGGAUUAGUGGCAGACGGGUGAGUAACACGUGGGAACGUGCCCUUUGGUUCGGAACAACUCAGGGAAACUUGAGCUAAUACCGGAUGUGCCCUUCGGGGGAAAGAUUUAUCGCCAUUGGAGCGGCCCGCGUCUGAUUAGCUAGUCGGUGAGGUAAAGGCUCACCAAGGCUACGAUCAGUAGCUGGUCUGAGAGGAUGAUCAGCCACAUUGGGACUGAGACACGGCCCAAACUCCUACGGGAGGCAGCAGUGGGGAAUCUUGCGCAAUGGGCGAAAGCCUGACGCAGCCAUGCCGCGUGAAUGAUGAAGGUCUUAGGAUUGUAAAAUUCUUUCACCGGGGACGAUAAUGACGGUACCCGGAGAAGAAGCCCCGGCUAACUUCGUGCCAGCAGCCGCCGUAAUAC
rnacentral:rRNA from 1 species